rnacentral:rRNA from 1 species
UACGGAGGGGAGCUAGCGUUAUUCGGAAUUACUGGGCGUAAAGCGCACGUAGGCGGCUUUGUAAGUAAGAGGUGAAAGCCCAGAGCUCAACUCUGGAAUUGCCUUUUAGACUGCAUCGCUUGAAUCAUGGAGAGGUCAGUGGAAUUCCGAGUGUAGAGGUGAAAUUCGUAGAUAUUCGGAAGAACACCAGUGGCGAAGGCGGGCUGACUGGACAUGUAUU